rnacentral:tRNA from 1 species
UGAUAAUUAGUUUAAUUUAAAAUAAAUGAUUUCGACUCAUUAGAUUACGGUUUGCUCCGCAAUUAUCAA